UUACGGCCAUAUCACGUUGAAACACCGGUUCCUGUACGAUCUCCGAUGUUAAGCAAAAUUGAGCCUGGUCAGUACUUUGAUGGGUGACCGCUCAGGUAUACCAUGUGCU